UUUUUUUUUUUUUUGUCUUUACAGGGCUUCACCCAUGGCAUAUGGAGGUUCCCAGGCUAGGGGUCAAAUCAGAACUACAGCUGCCAGCCCACGCCAUGGCCACAGCAAUGUGAGUGAGAUCUGAGUCGUGUCUGCGACCUACACCACAGCUCAUGGCAACGCCAAAUCCUUAACCCACUGAGCGAGGCCAGGGAUCGAACCCGCAUCCUCAUGGAUACUAGUCGGGUUCGUUACUGCUGAGCCACGACAAGAAUUCCCCUCCCUCCCCUCAUUUCCUCACUCCCCCAUCCCCGACUGCCCCCCAAGCAUCCCACAUUCUCCCUGUAGUAGCACAGCAAGUUGCCCCUCCUCCAACCUCCAGGUCCUCAAGUCUCAACUUUCUGCCUCCAGCACUCUGCAACUUUUUCUAUUACACCUAAUUUUCCAAACCUAGAUGCUUCUAUUCCCAAGAGGAAUCCUGGCGCCAGCUAUUAAGAAAGAGUGAGACUUUCUCCACCUUGCUACAAAGAGCUAAGUGCACUGGUGACUCGAAGACAAACCCAAAGUGCUAUGGAGGGGCGGAAGGAGGAGGGAGAGCAGGAGAUGGGUCAGGAAGGGUUUCCUGGCUGCUUCUAAGUGGUCUGACUCUCUCUCUUCCAAAUUCACAUGACAUUGAUUGCCUGCCUCACUCCUUAGACACUUGUCCUCUGCUGCCUCCUGCUAUUUCUCUUUCCACCUGUCCAAGCGUUUUGUCUCCCUGACCCGAUUUUUUUGCAGCUUCAACACAGCAGCUUUUUCCAUUCCUCCCCAGAACGCUCACGGGUGAUGGGCCUCACCAGUGGGUCUGUUGAGUCUCAACCUGCGGGAGCCGUAUGAUUUGCCUAGUUUUGCAAUACCAUCCCUAAAUUUCCCCCCAAAAGGCCACAUGGCAGGAGUGUUCUAAUUAAAAGAAGUUAAAAUACCUCUAAGAAUACACUGAGUAUUUAACCAGUGUGCUGGAUAUCUGGAAACGCCUAUUUGUGUUACACCAAUCAGCGGCUGAAAAGGACUAACAUGUAUUGAAGUACCCAUAGGGACCAGCCAUCUGCUUCCAUUCUCACAAUCAUCUUUUGAAGUGCGAUGAGGGGAUCUGCCAAAGAUCACACCACUACAGAGCAGGACCUAGAAUUUUAACCGAGGAACACCUCGCUUGAAAGCUCCCAUUCUGAUACCCCGUAUCUUUACAAUAAUAAUACUUCCUUAGAGACAUUCAAAUUCUCACAAGGAAAGAGAAGAAUGAUUAUCCAGAAUAUAGACUAGGAUACAGACUAAACAAGAACCACCCCAAUAGUUAGGGUCCUGGAGUAGCAGAAAGAAAGGUGACUCUAUGAACUUGAAAAGUGCUUUCACCUUUCUGAGCUUCAGGUUAUUUAUUUGCACACACGCAGCCUUACAGGGUUGAUGUCAACCCUAAAUUAUGUGUUUGUGUGUGUGUGUGUAUCUAUCUAACAUAUAUAUAUAUAUAAAUAAAUACCUGGUAAGUAGUGUUCAGUGGAAUUGUUGCUUCCUUUUGCAGAAUGUAAAGUGGGCAUUGAUACUCAGGCCUGACAUUCAGUUUAGUUGGGCAUGUGUUUUUGUUUGUUUGUUUGUUUUGCUGUGUUGCAUGCACUUGGGGCAUGCAGAAGUUCCAGGGCCAGCAAUCGAACCCAUGCCACAGCAGUGACCUGAGCCAUAGCAGUGAUAAUGCUUGAUACUUAACCCACUAAGGCACCAGGGCACUCCAAGGGCAUAUGUUUUUUUAAUUAACAUAUUGCAUUAAUGGGGGGGGAUAUUAGGUGAAUCACACAAGAGCAUAUUAAUCAUUAACUUAAUAUCAUCCAAAAACAACUACUGUUCUUGGAGGUAAAUUGGCACCACCAUCGAUAUCCUUCAAAGCCCUCCUGCACAUGAUCUCACACAGCUUCCUAAACAAGAUGCUUUGAAUUAGUUGCUCUCAGCCCUUGUACAAAGUAAGAGGGUUUCAUGUAUGAGCAUUAGAAACUGUGAGGAAGUAUUGGGGGGCUGGUGUAGGGAGAUGAGAACACGCUUCCCAGUCCUUCAACUACACCAAGUCCUGCUGGAUUGUGUUUCUAUCAACACAGGCUUGGCAGUGAAUUAGAGCUGGAUUUUAGCUCAUCCAAUUCUCAGCUGUGUGACCCUGAGUUUUAAAUUUCAUUUUCUCAUCUAUAAAACGGGGAUGAUAUUUUCCAUCUUCUAAGGCUGUUGUGAAGAUUAAGUUAAAUGAUGAAUUUAAAGCACUCAAUACAGUAUUUGAUGCAUUAUAAGCCCUUUAAAAAGUUGGUUACUAUUUUAGUAUUAACAGGGACCAUGGCCUUGAAGUUCUAAGAUGCAAGGCAAUGAAAGAAGGAAAGAAAGAAAGAAAGAAAGAAAGAAAGAAAGAAAGAAAGAAAGAAAGAAAAAAGAAAGGCUCCCUGUUGCUAGAGGGUCAAGUUCAAUGCAAUAUUUGAGCAUAGAGCAUCUACCAUAAUCUGGCCCCAAGCCUCUAUUUUACCCUAUGGUUACCUGCACACACUCCGCAAAAACCUCCUUAGCUCCUCAGGGCAAGCAGAAGUCCUCCCUUUGUUUUCUAGAGUACUUUGCAUACACUUUGGUAUUUUCCCUAAUCGCAACAUAUUCUCACGAUUCGCACAUCUACCUCCACUCUACCCUACUGCGUCCCGGGCUGUGAGUUUAUGAAUGGAAACCAUACACCCUGUUUGUACUAGCAGCCAUUCCGCAUUCUGUAGGUCGUGGUUGGAUGGAUGGAUGGUGGAGAGAUGGAUGGAUAAGGACCAUGGAACAACGUACUGACUUGAUAAAGGAAUUAGAACCAGGUACCUAGGGGACUGAGCAAGACAGUCUUGGUUUGCUUCAUAAAUUUUCCUAAGCCAGGUCUGAGCAAAAGUCUAGAUGACAUGACAUUCGCAGAAUUGUCUUGCUGAUGAGGUGGCUGAGUAAUCUGUGUGUGCCUUCUAGGGAAUGCAUGACUGGGUGGUGACUGUUGUCAGGGCCAAUAUCAGACAGAACACCUUAGGAACCAGGAAACCAAGCCAGAAUGGUGCCUCUAAGAGUUCCUGAAGCCGUCAAGGUUAUCAAGUUAAGCAGUUAGGAGCAACAAGUAUUUCCAGGUGUGGUCAAUUGCUAACAGGGCAGACAGACUCGUGGACACCAACCAUUUUCCCCGUGAUCACAUCACUGUAAACAAUGACACAAGAUCUAGAAAUAGAAAGGGGAUAUACCAUGUGAUUCCCACAGCGGAUAAACUAUCUGGAGUUAACAGUUCAAAGUACCUAGAAUACAAAAUAUUUUAGAACACUGAGCACUAUAAUGCCAUGGGUGUGGCCAAAAAUGAAAAAAUGAAAGUUUUUUAAAAAGCAAUAUAGAGGGAGAUUUAUAUCUUGACUUUUCAGGAAUCAUUAUUUUUCUUUUAUUUUACCCUUUUUGUUAAAGGCAACUGAAAAAGAUAUUUAAUUAUUGAUCAUUUAUGAUGUACUUCAUACUUUUUAAAAAAGGUGAUAUGCGGGAGUCAGCUCCAGACCAGCCCAGGAGAGCAAAAUGUAUGCAUUUCUUCUCACUUCUACCUUAGAUGAUUUCACAAGGGCAUCUUAAAAUCAGCCAUGGCAGGAGUAUUUACACCACAGAAAUAGGCAAACACUACAAAUCUGGGUUUCCUACUCCCAUUUCCUCUUACUGCUGAUGGUUAAGCCUUCAGCCGUACACCACAGCAUACACCACAGUGAAUGAUCCCAAGUAAUCCUCUCAACACUCCUAUUUUACAGAUGGUAAACUGAAGUUCAGCGAGAUUAAACAACAACAAAAAACUUACUACCAACUCUUUUGUGGUAAAGGCAGGAUUAAAAGUGACACCAUCUGCCUCCAAAGUUGAUGCAAUUAACCAUGUUGAAGGGAACACUUCCUAACUCAUUCUGUAAGGCCAGUAGGUAUCACACUGAUCCCAAAAGCAGAGAUAAAAAAAAUCACAAGAGGAGUUCCUGUUGGGGUUCAGGGGUUUAUGAACCCGACUAGUAUUCACGAGGAUGCAGGUUCGAUCCCUGGCCCCACUCAGUGAGUUAAAGAUUCGGCAUUGCCAUGAGCUGUGGUGUAGGUAGCAGACACGGCUUGGAUCCCAUCUUGGUGUGGCUGUGAUGUAGAGUGGCAGCUACAGCUCUCAUUUGACCUGGGAACUUCCAUAUGCUGCAGGUGCAGCUCAAAACGAAAACAAAAACAAACAAGAAAACCAACUUCCUGAAGAAGGCAACAUGUGGCUCAAAACCACGAUGAGAUAUCACUCCAUACCUAUAAAGAUGGCUAUUAAACAAACAAGAAACAAAAAUGGAAAUGAGUGUUUACAAGGGUGUGGAGACACUGCAACUCUCCUAUAUUGCGGGGAGGGAUGUAAAAUCAUACAGUCCCAGUAGAAAACAGUUUGGUCAUUCCUCAGUAAGUGAAACAUAGAACUACCAUAUGACACAGCAGUUCCACUCCUACUAUAUACUCCAAAGAAUCGAAAAGAGGGAUGCAAAGAGUGUGCCAGUGUUCAUUGCAACACUAUUCACAACAGCCAAAAGGUGGAAACGAUCCAAGGGUCCCUCGACCGACGAAGGGAAAAAAUAUGGUCUAGACACACGAUAGAGUAAUAUUCAGCCAUUAAAAGGAAUGAAGUUCGGAGACAAAUUACAACACGCAUGAACCUUGAAAUAAGCCGGACACAAAAGAACAAAUAUUGUAGGAAGUACACAGAGACAGAAAAUAAAUUAGUGCUCAUCAGGGGCCGGAGGGAGGAGUAAUGGGAAGUUAUUGCUUGAUGGGUACAGUUUCUGUUUGGGGUAAUGGGCAAGUUUUAGAAAUAGACAGUGGUAGCGGUUGCAUAACAUUGUGAAUAAUUAAUGCCACUAAAUUAUACACUUAAAACGGUUAAAAUAGCAUAUUUGUGUUUAUUUCCCCAGAUUAAAAAAAAAAGUCCCUAAUU
rnacentral:lncRNA from 1 species